CACCGCCUGGGGAGUACGACCGCAAGGUUAAAACUCAAAUGAAUUGACGGGGACCCGCACAAGUAGUGGAGCAUGUGGUUUAAUUCGAAGAUACGCGCAGAACCUUACCAACACUUGACAUGUUCGUCGCGACUUUAAGAGAUUAAAGUUUUCGGUUCGGCCGGACGAAACACAGGUGCUGCAUGGCUGUCGUCAGCUCGUGUCGUGAGAUGUUGGGUUAAGUCCCGCAACGAGCGCAACCCUCACUUUUAGUUGCCAUCAUUAAGUUGGGCACUCUGAAAGAACUGCCAGUGAUAAGCUGGAGGAAGGUGGGGAUGACGUCAAGUCCUCAUGGCCCUUACGUGUUGGGCUACACACGUGCUACAAUGGUAUCUACAACAGGAAGCAAGACGGCGACGUUAAGCAAAUCCUUAAAAGAUACCUCAGUUCGGAUUGCACUCUGCAACUCGAGUGCAUGAAGCUGGAAUUACUAGUAAUCGUGGAUCAGCGUGCCACGGUGAAUGCGUUCCCGGGUCUUGUACACACCGCCCGUCACACCAUGGGAGUUGGUUCUACCUUAAGGCAAGGUUUAAAACCCUUGACCACGGUAUAGUCAGCGACUGGGGUGAAGUCGUAACAAGGUAGCCGUAGGGGAACCUGCGGCUGGAUUACCUCCUUUCUAAGGAUGAAUAAAAGUAAUAUUUUAUUCUAAAUAAUUUACACGGUUAAUGUUGACCGUCCUCAUUUCUCUUCUUAAGUUAGUGUUUCUCUUGCAUGGGGGCCGGUAGCUCAGUUGGUUAGAGCACACCCUUGAUAAGGGUGGGGUCGAAAGUUCGAGUCUUUCUCGGCCCACCAAAAGAUAAAGAUUAAGGGGGAUUAGCUCAGCUGGGAGAGCGCCUGAUUUGCAUUCAGGAGGUCAGCGGUUCGAUCCCGCUAUCCUCCACCAAACACUUAGUUAUACAAAUUGUGAAUAAGAUAAUAAUUAAUAUCAAUAUCUAUAUCCGAACAUUAGUAAUGUUAUUAGCUAAUGUUCAAAUAAAAAUUUAAUUCAACACAGAAUUUUUUUCUG
rnacentral:sRNA from 1 species